AGACCUAUUUCCAUAUUAUUAAUAUUUGCAUUAGGGUGACCAUUUAGACUCUACAUCCCCAGUCAUAUCCCCAUGGAACCAUGUGAUCAAGCAGUUGUUUUUCUUCUACACUUCUACUCCCACAGUUCUUCUAAGUCCCUCUGAAUUGUCCUGGAUCAUUGCAUUGCUGCUAGUAGAGAAGUCCAUUAUGUUUGAUUGUGCCAUAAUGUGUCAGUCUCUGUGUACAAUGUUCUCCUGGUUCUGCUGCUUUCACUCUGCAUCACUUCUUGGAGGUCUUUCCAGUUCACAUGGAAUCCCUCCAGUUCAUUAUUCCUUUGAGCACAAUAGUAUUCCAUCACCAACAGAUAACACAAUUUGUUCAGCCAUUGCCCAAUUGACGGGCAGCCCCUCAUUUUCCAAUUUUUGGCCACCACAAAGAGCAAAGCUAUGAAUAUUCUUGUACAAGUCUUUUUCCUUAUUAUCUCUUUGGGGUACAAACCCAGCAGUGGCAUGGCUGGAUCAAAGGACAGUCUUUUAGCGCCCUUUGGGCAUAGUUCCAAAUAAUAACAAUAACUUUCUCAUCAGCCUUUCUACUUCAGGUCUCUCCUCACUCUUGUCCUUCAUUCAACUGCCAAAGUGAUCUCUCCUUAAAGCACAGAUCUAACCAUGUCACUCCCCUACUCAAAAAAUGUCAAUGGUUCUUGUUACCUAGGAGACCGGGAGUGUUAGAAGGAGCCUCAAAGAGAUGAGCCUGAGCUGGUCUCUAGUGAUGGGGGGAAGAGACUGGGUCUUAGGCAUUUAACUGGUGUCUACCCUACACAUAUGAAAGCUUCCCCCAUCCCCCAUGGAAUGGGAGGUUCAGAACAAUACCCCAACGACCAUGAAGGUGGCUGAAAUUAGAAGAUCCAAAUUCUCUCCUUCCCUCUCUUCUCUCCCUCUUCCUGGAGAUGAUUUGGGAUAUACAUGUCUUAUCAUGCAAAACAUACUUCCAUAUGGGUUCUCCUUAAGAGAACUUAGAGCUUGGUCCAACAUGGAAAAUACCAAGGUUAUCCAAUGCAUCCAGGGCCAUCACUAGUCCUUGAUUUGGACUUGGAUGAUUCUGGAAGAGCGAGUGAGGCUGAUGACUUUAUUCAACUGCCUCACUUCAAUCCACCUCGCAUACAACUCAAGACAUCAUCCCAUGAUGCCAUUGGUCCUCCUAGAAAAUGAAAGACAAACACAGUAAUCCCAUCACAACCUGACCCUUUUCUACUUUCUAAUCUCUGUAUAUUUUAUUCCUUCCACGUAUUCUUCAAUCCAAUGAUACUGUUCCCUUUGCUAUUCCUCACACACAAUACUCUACCCAAAUAUUUUCACUGUCUGUGCCCCAUGUCUGGAAUGCUCUUUCCCCUUCUAAUCUCCACUUCCUGUCUUCAAGCCUCAACUAAAAUUCUACCUUCUACCAGAAGCCUUCUCCAGAUCCCCUUAAUUCUAGUGCCUUCCCUCUCUUGGCUACGUCCAUUUUACCCCGUACAGAGCUUGUAUGUACAAAGUUAUUUGUGUGUUCUCUCCCCCAUUACAAGAUGAGCCUCUAGAGAGCAAGGACUGUCUUUUGCCUUUCUAUGUAUCUCCAGCACUUAGAGUAGGGUUGACUGACUGAUGCAGUUCACCCCAAGUCCUCCAGUGUAAAUCUUGAAAUCUCUCAGACUUGUGAAUGUUAAAAAUUUCCCCAUCAGGGAAUUCUUAAUUGGAACAAAUUCCCUACUGAGAAACAUUCCCCAUUUUGAUGUGAGAACUCGCCAGGAUCAGAAAUGGGAGGACCUCUACUCCAACCGUACUUAAGACUGCUUUAGGGGAGAAAACUCCUUGCUAUGGGAGGACCCCUACUCUACCCGUACUUAAGACUGCUUUAGGAGAGAAAACUCCUUGCUAAACAAUGAAAGUACUUGGACCCAUGCUUAUAAUAAGGCAAGGAGUUCUUUGAGCCAGGCCCGUUUUUAGAAUUGAUACAAUGGGAUGCUAGGUACCUAAAAGGGUCGGGCAAGUUUUCUCUUGAUGAGAUUAGUUGACUCAGCUGUGUUUUCUCUAGUUCAGACUUACUGAGGAGAUUUGGUCAACACAGCAACAUUUUUUUCUGAUUCAGACUUACUGAGGAGAUUGGUCGACUUAGCAAGAAUUUAGAUGGGCAGUCCUUUGGAAAGCAUCUACAGUGAUUGGUAGAUGUAGGGACUUAGGGGAGGUGACAUGGGAGGAAAAACCCCUAUAUAAGAAAAAGCAGAAUCUCUUGAGGAGAUAUCCUUUUGGAGAUAUCCUUUUGGAGAAAUCCUUUUGGAGGAUCUCUGAUGAGGACUGCUUGGGAAGAAUCUCUUGAGAGAGGCUCUGGAGAAGGGAAGCUCUUGGAGGACAAUCUCUAAGGAGGUCUCGCUGGAGCUCCUUUAAGGGGACUCUGUCCCUCUGGAGGCUCUGGAGAAAGGCCCUUUGGAACAGUCUCUGGCUGGAAGGCUCUCUGGUGAACUCGGCUGAGAUGGAGCUGGCCUGGUGUCACUAGAAUCUUUGUUUAGGCAGACCUUGUGGUGAAUGUUAAAAGACUGACUGACUGAUUCUCUCUCUUAAGACUCAGGUCUAGGCCAUAUUGGCUUGAGGCCCUUCAUAAUUAUUCCUUUCCUACCCUUUCUCUAAUUCCUCAUAUUAUUAAUUAAAAAUCUUUAUAAAACCCAGUUGACUUGGGUAUUUGAAUAAUUAGGAAUAUUUCCUUGGCGACCACCUUAUAUUUGAUUUAAAAACUAAGACACUGUAGUGAAACAUAUUUUCUGCGGUCAAAUUUACUCACCCUCUCUUAUAUCUAUCACAAUUUAUAUCUUCCACCAUUUUAACUCACUACAGUUUAAGACCUCAACCAUUUUAAAUCUAACACCAGUCACCACUGAAUUCUCAUACUGGUCUCUCCAUAUUGUUUUCUUUUGUAAUCAUCAGGUGUAUCCUUUUCCUGAUCCUACUUAAUUCACUUUGCAUCAGUUCAUACAAGAGUUGUCAGAUUUCUCAGAAUUCUUCACAUAAGUCAUUCUUAGACCUUCAUAUCAUCCCACAGCAGUCAGGCACCACCAAUUUUGUCCAGCCAUUCCCCAGUUGAUGGACACCCACUUUCUAACUUUGCUACCAAAAACCAUAGGGUCAUAGGAGGAUAGAUUUAGAUUUGGAAAAGAUUUUAAAGGCCCUUUUCAAAUUGGGAAACUGAGGUCAGAGAGAAGAAACUAUUUGCCCAAAUUCUCAUAGUAGGUGACUCUGGGAUCUUUUCCUCUGACUUGGUCCUUCUUGAGGUAGAUGCCUCACUCUGUGUAACAUCCACCCAUCAAUCCUAGUUCUGCCCUCUUCUGGGCCAAGUAGAUGAAGUCUGAUGCCCCUUGGCACAUGCUCCAGACAGCUGUGCUAGAAAAAGCCUCAAAGAGAUGGGCUAACCUGAGCCCUCCAGUGAUGGGGGGAGGAGAUUGGGUCUCACAGUAAGAGGAAAUGCAGUCAUUCGUUUUGUGGGUUUCACUUGUUCUUGUCUCUGAGCUCAGACUUCCUCUUGCCCACACUUUCUCAUGCACUCCUGACCCAGUGACAAGGUUCCCAGUGUCCCCAGCAGGGCCCAGCUUCCCAGGAAUCCUUGUUCUCCAGGGCAGAAGAUGGGUUGUUGCAGCCUGACAGGCCGGGGUGGUGGGGAUUCCUUGGAGAGAGGCCAGGAAGAGACAGAACUGCUGACAUGGGGAAGCAGCAGGAAAUGGUCAGUCUCUCUAACUAGAGAGGAAAGACCUACUCAUCCCCAGGGUCCCUCAGCUGACCAAGGAGACGGACGAAUGACUGACAUUGGACGGCUCUUCCAGGAAGUUCUUCAGUCUCUGGACCCCAAGGCGAGUGUUUGAAAUGGGAGGGUGAGGAGGAGGGAGAAAAGGGCUGGGAAUGAAGCCGUCCCACCUUGAGUCUAGCUAAGGGAUCACACCUUACUCAGCCCCAGUGUGUAAAGAACUAGACACCAGAAAACUGGAAAUCGGGAGGGUAAAUGGGGCAGAAACCCUCAAAG